GACAGUUAACAGAAAUUAGUGCCGUUUGCCAACCACACCCAAGGACAGAUGGAGUUAAAGGAAUAAACCUCAUUUUGGCACAUCAGCAUAAAACUGGUGAAUAUUCUUUCGGGAUCUUCCCCUAAGAUCUCCCCUAAAUGCCCCAAACCCCUU